UACGAAGGGGGCUAGCGUUGCUCGGAAUCACUGGGCGUAAAGCGCACGUAGGCGGCUUCUUAAGUCAGGGGUGAAAUCCUGGAGCUCAACUCCAGAACUGCCUUUGAUACUGAGGAGCUUGAGUCCGGGAGAGGUGAGUGGAACUCCGAGUGUAGAGGUGAAAUUCGUAGAUAUUCGGAAGAACACCAGUGGCGAAAGCGACGCACUGGACCUCUUCUGACGCUGAGGCGCGAAAGCUAGGGGAGCAAACGGG
rnacentral:rRNA from 1 species